UCCCAACUUCAUGUGUUUCUUUAUGUCAUUGCUCUUCCUCAUACAGCUUGCCCCCACAUUCACCGCUUGGUGUGUUGUUAUUAUUACUAUGUGAUUCUUUACUUCACUGAUGACCCCUGAACAGAUUGUCAGUGCCCUUCCCAACUUCAUGUGUUUCUUUAUUUCAUUGCUCUUCCUCAUACAGCUUGCCCCCACACUCACAGCUUGGUGUGUAUAUUAUAACAAUGUGUUUCUUUAUUUCAUUGCUCCAGGUGUGUCAUGUUCACUCAUCAUUCACAGAUAUCCGGCCCUUCUUCAUACAGCUUGCCCCCCUCCCCACAUUCACAGCUUGGUGUGUUGUUAUUAUUACUAUGUGAUUCCUUACUUCACUGAUGACCCCUGAACUUCAUGUGUUUCUUUAUUUCAUUGCUCCAGGUGUGUCAUAUUCACUCAUCAUUGACUGAUGACCCCUGAACAGAUUUCCGGCCCUUCUUCAUACAGCUUGUCUUCCACCUUCACAGUCAUGCUGUGUCAUAUUCACUCAUCAUUGACUGAUGACCCCUGAACAGAUUUCCGGCCCUUCUUCAUACACCUUGUCUUCCACCUUCACAGUCAUGGCACAACACUCAGGAGUGCUGUGAGUUGCAUGACACCUGCAGAGGCUCCAUACUACAGACUACUACUACUCGGUACUACAGAAACCGGAUCACUUGACAAGCCUGUGUCCUGUUUUGGCCUUCCACACUCUGUAGGAUUGCAUAGGCUCCAUUUCUUCUCCCACAUCACCAUUCCAAAACAACUCCAGAUGUUUCGUUUGUAUUAUGGCCAGUUUCUUUACAUCUGUUACACUACCUGUGUUUUGCACCCAAAACUGGACUGCUCUAUCUGUUUCUUGUUUUUUAUCAUUAUCACUUGCAUUGCUGUAAAUAUGUUCCAUUAGCUCAGUUUUGCAACUAUGAAGUGUACAGUUUUGUUGUUGUAUUACUGUUACGCUGAGCAAAAAGAAACCUCAAACCUUACUCUUAGGCCUAUGUGAAUUCUUCAUGCGUGUCGUGCUCUGUCAACAGUUUGAUGCUUACAAAGCAUUCCAAGUGUCUGUAUGAUGUUCUACCAUUAUGCUAUGCCUUCACACAGUUAAUAACAAAAGGUAUACAGUAUUAAAAAUGCAUAUUCACACUA